AAAGUGCGAUAAGCACUGUGAAUUGCAGAAUUCAGCGAAUCAGUAGAUCUCUCAACGCAAAUGGUGUCAGGUAAACUUGUUUGCUUGACAGUCAUGCUUCAGUCUUGCACUUAUGCACUAAACAUGCAUUUUUGUCACCUCUAAUAUACUUGUUGGUGAUGUGUAGUUCGCUAAGUCACAUGGCGAAUGGGAAUAGCUCGGUGUUAUUAAUUUAUUAAAAACAACUGAGUAAUUGAUAAUCAAGCUGAAGUAUGUCAGACUACCCGCUGAACUUAA
rnacentral:misc_RNA from 1 species